AUCAACACCAGGCCACCACUCAUACAAAUCCCUGGUGUAACACUCGGCUUCUCUCUACUAUGUGGAUUGUCCGACUACCUCCGCCAGUAUACAGCCGCUGAGAUUUCACAGAAAAGCAGUGUAUUGAAUGUGUAUCUGAACACUGCCGCUCCCUUUGGUAAGCCUGUAGAUGUCAAUCCGGAUACAGUGAUGUCCAAGGUUCACAACAAACCGAGUCUUUUAU